AUUUUACUUAGUGGAUUAUGGUCAUUUAUCAAGCAGUAAAUCUUUUGCCAGACUCCUGCAAAAGCAAUAGAGCACUCGGAGCAGUCUUACCUAAGGAGUCUCAGCCUUGUCUUCAGCCCUAAUAUCCCUCUCUCAGGCAUGCGAAAUGACUCCUCUGCACCAGCAAGUCAGGUGCUUCCUGAGCAGCCCGCCUGGGAUUUGAGUGCCUUCAUUCAAGCCGCCUGUGGGUCAGCUGGAAAAGGAACCUAAGCACAGCUUCAGAAAGUGAUCCCAAACUCUAAACACAUGUGUAACCCUUGAAUGGAUAAUCUCGGGAAUCCUGGACCACAAACCUACCCCAUGCUUCCUCCUUGUCUCUUUUUUGUGAUGGAUGGUCUUGGAGGACAGAGGAACUGGGGCCAAGACUGAGGGGAGAGAGAGAUUUCUGCUCUCCCCCCUGUAAUUACAGGAAGAGUGCUGAGGACCCUUUGCACAGUGGGGCACUCAGGCUGCUGGUGGCGGUUCCUUGUGCGGAGCUGGAAUUCUUCCCAAUGCAGGGAUGGCUUGUUCCACAUCACAGUCUGCUCUGGGACAGGGGAUCUUGAGGGUGGAAAUGAAUGAGUUCUUCAAAUAGGCUCCGUGUGCUGAGGAUCCCCCCAGGUCUUCUCCCGUGUCCUGGAUCUGGGAUGAUUCUGGGUUCACAGAGAGCCCCUGUUCUAUGGUAACUUUAGAGAACCCAGAGCUCUUGUGUGCCUACUGUCAGUGGUAUGGUCCACAAGUGUCUCCAGUUACCAAGUUUUCCUUCCAUCCUGCCAUGACUUGGAUGUGGUUUGAGUGUGUCCCCAGAGGUCUGGGUGCUGAUAGUUUGGUCUCCAGUGUGGCAGUGAUGAGGUGGUGGAACAUGUAAGAGGGGGGCCUGGUGGAAUGCAAUUAGGAGUUGGGGGGGCUGCAGCUGAAGGGAUUCAAGCUGGUCUUGUACAAAGCUGGUCUUGUAGAGUGAGUUGGACUCACAAGAGCAGGUUGUUAUGACAUGAGGCCGCCCUACGUGCUUGGCCCCUCAGUAUCUGGUUAGCUCCCUUAUCUUUUCCUCUCCAUGUUGUGAUGUACCCCGUUGUCUGUCAUCAGAAGUCAAGCAGAUGGGACGGCCUGAUCUUGGACUUUCAGCCUUUCAAAUUGUAGGUGAAAUAAACCUCUUCUCCUUAUAAAUUA
rnacentral:lncRNA from 1 species